AGAACGAACGCUGGCGGCAUGCCUAAUACAUGCAAGUCGAACGAACUCUUCGGAGUUAGUGGCGCACGGGUGCGUAACGCGUGGGAAUCUGCCCCUUGGUUCGGAAUAACAGUUGGAAACGACUGCUAAUACCGGAUGAUGACGAAAGUCCAAAGAUUUAUCGCCAAGGGAUGAGCCCGCGUAGGAUUAGCUAGUUGGUGAGGUAAAGGCUCACCAAGGCAACGAUCCUUAGCUGGUCUGAGAGGAUGAUCAGCCACACUGGGACUGAGACACGGCCCAGACUCCUACGGGAGGCAGCAGUAGGGAAUAUUGGACAAUGGGCGAAAGCCUGAUCCAGCAAUGCCGCGUGAGUGAUGAAGGCCUUAGGGUUGUAAAGCUCUUUUACCCGAGAUGAUAAUGACAGUAGUCGGAGAAUAAGCCCCGGCUAACUCCGUGCCAGCAGCCGC
rnacentral:rRNA from 1 species